rnacentral:rRNA from 1 species
GUGGGGAAUAUUGCGCAAUGGGGGAAACCCUGACGCAGCAACGCCGCGUGAGUGAUGAAGGCCUUCGGGUCGUAAAGCUCUGUCAGGUGGGACGAAUUUCUAGCUAUGAAUAAUACCUAGAGGUGACGGUACCACCAGAGGAAGCACCGGCUAACUCCGUGCCAGCAGCCGCGGUAAUACGGAGGGUGCUAGCGUUGUUCGGAAUUAUUGGGCGUAAAGAGCGUGUAGGUGGUCUAAUAAGUCAGACGUGAAAUCCCUUGGCUCAACCAAGGAAGUGCAUCUGAAACUAUUAGACUUGAGUACUGGAGAGGAGAGUAGAAUUCCCAGUGUAGAGGUGAAAUUCGUAGAUAUUGGGAGGAACACCGGUGGCGAAGGCGGCUCUCUGGACAGAUACUGACACUGAGACGCGAAAGCGUGGGGAGCAAACAGGAUUAGAUACCCCGGUAGUCC